rnacentral:rRNA from 1 species
UUGAUGACGAGUGGCGGACGGGUGAGUAAUGCUUGGGAAUCUAGCUUAUGGAGGGGGAUAACUACGGGAAACUGUAGCUAAUACCGCGUAGAAUCGAGAGAUGAAAGUGUGGGACCUUCGGGCCACAUGCCAUGAGAUGAGCCCAAGUGGGAUUAGGUAGUUGGUGGGGUAAAGGCCUACCAAGCCUGCGAUCUCUAGCUGGUCUGAGAGGAUGGCCAGCCACACUGGAACUGAGACACGGGCCAGACUCC